GCUUUGUUGCUAUAGAUUACAGUUCGUGAUUAGAGAUACUCCAAUGUAACCUUUAGAGUGUAAAACUAGUAUGUUUUCUCAAACAUAUUACAAAAUUCUAAAUGACUUGGCUGAAUUUGAAGGACUAAGGCAGCAGGAAUCCUUUCUUGGUAAGUGCUCACGUCGAUUAGUUAACGAGGCGGCUGGGCCAGAUUAUCACGUAUUUGUUUAUCCAUAAGCCACAUUUGAGGUGCUUAAAAUGUCAAAAUGAAAACAUUUUCGUCUACGGUGCAGACGUAUAAAGAUGAAUAACAUACCGUAUUACGGCCCCGAUGACGUCAAAGUUUCUUUGAAGUAUGAAGAACUUGUUUCAGCUCUAGAACUGGCUCUGGCUGAUUUUUCAAAAGGACCGGAUGGAGGAGUGAGUCAGCCGCUGAGAGCCACCGCCGUAGUCACACAGUUCAAUGGGUUAGACAGAAGCUUGCAAGUUAUGACCUACAAGUAAUCCAGAUGUUCCAUUCAAUUGCACACAAAGAAAAAUAUUGAGAGAGCCAAUGCCAUCAUCAGUGUAUACCCAUGAUUUUACAACAGAACACAAACAUGCUGCAGUUUUUCCUCUACUAGAUUUAACCCAACGCCAAGCUGAAGGAAGGCUACAAUAUUUUGACAGUGCAUGCUGUUGCAGAUAUGAUUUGUAUGCCAACAAUGAGAGUCUUUGAAGUAGCCACUAAAGAAAGAAGAAUGAAGACUAGAGAAGAACUGUGUUCAAGGUCUCCACCGACACACCAUGUUGGUUGAUGGGCUCUGAAACAUACAUGAAUAGCUUGAAAAAGAAACUAAACGUCAACAAUGACCAGACUACAUCUGAUGGACAAUUUUCAUUAUUUAGAAUUUCGUGUUUAGAAGCAUGUGAGAAUGCACCUUUGAAUCAAAUCGAUGACAACUAUUAUGUUAAUUUUUUGUUUGUGAUUGGAAGCAUAUAAUAAAAUAUUUAUAUAUUUC